GUUGUCAACAGUCCCGGCUAUCUGAAGAUGAAAUGGGCUGGCAGGUGGCAGUAAGGCCCCCUUCGCUAGCUGAGUGCAGAUGCAGCUGAACAGCGCCCGGGUCCGGGUCAGAGUGGCAGCGCGGCGGCCCCCAGCAGGAGGAGGGCGGGGAGUGUGCGGAAGGCAGGGCGUGCGCGGGACGGGGGACACCGGACGGCCGCGCCAGGAGAGAGGCGUGCUCCGCUUCUAUUCCGGGAGCCGUGUGGAGGGGCGGGGGCACCCGGCGAGCAUCCUGUCCGGGGGAGGAGACGCGAGGGGGGCGCUCCCGCGGCCUGGGCUGGAGUGCGCAGCGCGUCCCCCGCCGCCGGCCCCACUGGGGCCACUGCGCCCUGCGUGACAUGCCGCGGGGAUCGGCCGGCGCCAUGGACCAAAGCCGGGUGCUGGAACGGCUGCUCCCUGAACUCACGGGGCUGCUCAGCCUCCUGGACCAUGAGUACCUCAGUGACACCACCCUGGAGAAGAAGAUGGCUGUGGCCUCCAUCCUGCAGAGCCUGCAGCCCCUCCCAGCAAAAGAUGCCUCCUACCUGAAUGUGAGCGCAGCGGACCUACACUUUGGGCCCAGCUUCGUGGAGUCCCUCUUUGAAGAAUUCGACUGUGACCUGAGCGAACUUCGGGACCUGCCAGAGGAUGAUGGACAGCCCUGCACAGUAGCUAGACCCAAGCCAGCCAAGAGCCCAUCUCGGAAACAGGCAGCCCACCUGCCUCCGCCACUCCCCAGCAGGCCUCCACCCGAGGACCACUACGAGGAGGCCCUUCCCCUAGGGCCUGGCAGAGCCCCUGAGUACAUCAGCUCCCACAAUGGCUGCAGCCCGGCCCACUCCAUCAUAGAUGGCUACUAUGAGGAUGCAGACAGCAGCUACCCUGCAACCAGGAUGAAUGGGGAGCUGAAGAGCUCCUACAAUGACUCUGACGCAAUGAGCAGCUCCUACGAGUCCUAUGAUGAGGAGGAGGAGGAAGGGAAGGGGCCGCAGCUCAUGCACCAGUGGCCCUCAGAGGAGGCCUCCAUGCACCUGGUCAGGGACUGCAGGAUAUGUGCCUUCCUGCUGCGGAAAAAGCGCUUCGGGCAGUGGGCCAAGCAGCUGACUGUCAUCAAGGAGGACCAGCUCCUGUGUUACAAAAGCUCCAAGGACCGGCAGCCACACCUGAGGCUGGCGCUGGACAUCUGCAGUGUCAUCUAUGUGCCCAAGGACAGCCGGCACAAGAGGCAUGAGCUGCGCUUCUCCCAGGGGGCUACCGAGGUCUUGGUGCUGGCACUGCAGAGCCAGGAGCAGGCCGAGGAAUGGCUGAAGGUCAUCCGAGAGGUGAGCAAGCCUGCUGGAGGUGCACAGGGGGCGGGACUACCCAGAUCCCCAGUCCUCCUGUGCAAGCUGGACCUAGACAAGAGACUGUCUCAAGAGAAGCAGACCUCAGACUCCGACAGCCUGGGCAUCAACGACAACUGUUCCACUCUAGGCCGCCGGGAGGCCUGUGACCAUGGCAAAGGAAAGAAGAGCAGUCUGGCAGAGCUGAAGGGCUCGAUGAGCAGGGCUGCAGGCCGGAAGAUCACCCGCAUCAUCAGCUUCUCCAAAAAGAAGCUACCUGCCGAUGACCAGCAGACGUCCCCCACGGAAGAGGAGUUUCCAUGCUGUGGCCACCUGAACGUGCUGGUGAAUCAGGGCUGGAAGGAACGCUGGUGCCGCCUGAAUGGCAACACUCUGUAUUUCCACAAGGACCGAACAGACCUGCGGACCCACGUAAAUGCCAUCACCCUUCAUGGCUGUGAGGUAGUCCCAGGCUUUGGGCCCAGACACCCAUUCGCCUUCAGGAUCCUGCGCAACCAGCAGGAGGUCACCAUCUUGGAGGCAGGCUGCUCAGAGGACAUGGGCCGUUGGCUUGGGCUGCUGCUGGUGGAGAUGGGCUCCAAAGUCACUCCUGAGGCGCUGCACUAUGAUUACGUGGACGUGGAGACCAUAACCAGCAUCGUCAGUGCAGGGCGCAACUCAUUCCUAUAUGCAAGCUCCUGCCGGGACCAACGGCCUGAGCUUCAUGUCUACGACGAUGUUCCUCAUGAAGAGGUGCAGGACGAGGAGCCCAAGCGUCCCACUGGGGCCCAGGUGAAGCGCCACGCCUCCUCCUGCAGUGAGAAGUCCCACCGAGUGGAUCCACAGGUCAAAGUCAAGCGCCAUGCCUCCAGUGCCAAUCAAUACAAGUAUGGGAAGAACCGAGCUGAGGAAGAUGCCCGAAAGUACCUGGUAGAAAAAGAGAAGCUGGAGAAAGAGAAAGAGACUAUCCGAACUGAGCUGAUGGCACUAAGACAGGAGAAGAGGGAGCUGAAGGAAGCCAUCCGGAGCAGCCCAGGACUGAGGGCUGGAAAAGCCCUCCAAGAAGGGCACACUAGAGACUACGGCCCUGCCAAAUUCCCUGAUGCUCCAGGCCAGGCUCAGCGGUUUUUCAUCACUGUCUUUGGACACAGAAGCAAAGUUAAAGGUUCUGGAGGAGGGCAUGGCCACCCUGGAAGAUCAGUGCCGCGCCAAGGAGGAGCGCCGGAUCGACUUGGAGUUGCGGCUGGUGGCUGUGAAGGAGCGCUUGCAGCGGUCCCUGGCAGGGGGCCCAGCCUUGGGGUUCUCUGUGGGCAGCAAGAGCAGGAGUGGGGAAACUGCAAAUAAACCCCAGAACCCUCCAGAGCAACCUCUCCCUGUCAACUGUGUUUCUGAGCUGAGGAAGAGGAGCCCAUCCAUUGUAACUUCCAACCAAGGCAGGGUGCUACAGAAAGCCAAGGAAUGGGAAAUGAAGACCUAGAUAGAGGAUGAAGAUUUCAUUCCAAAGGAAACACCAGAUUGUCUAUCUUUUCUUUUUUUUUUUACAAAGAGACACCAGAAGACACCAUUCUCUGGGGCACCCAAAAGACCAGCCUUUGUUGUCUGCAUGAUUAUAAGGGAUAUGGGGAGGGAAGAACUAGAAAGGAAGAGAGAAAAAGAGGACAUCCUUGUAACUUUACAGAGGGUGAAAAACAAGGGUGGAAGGAGAUAGAAAUCUGCACAUUGAAAAAGUUUUGUGAAAUGUCUUUGUUUUCCUUUCGGAAGAAAUGAAAGCAUACAUGAAUAAGCCAUUCCGUCCCA